GAUGAAGAACGCAGCGAAAUGCGAUAAGUAAUGUGAAUUGCAGAAUUCAGUGAAUCAUCGAAUCUUUGAACGCACCUUGCGCCCUCUGGUAUUCCGGAGGGCAUGCCUGUUUGAGUGUCAUGAACACCUCACCCCCUCGGGUUUCCGAUCGGGUGGACUUGGGCGUCUGCCAGUGAAAUGGCUCGCCUUAAACGCAUUAGCGGUUGUUGACGUAAUAAGUUUCGUCUUGUCGACCGCUCCUAAUCUCCUUAGGGAUGUCUCUCGGGACACUUCAUGAUCUGACCUCAAAUCAGGUAGGACUACCCGCUGAACUUAAGCAUAUCAAUAAGCGGAGGA
rnacentral:misc_RNA from 1 species